rnacentral:rRNA from 1 species
CUGAUGUUAGCGGCGGACGGGUGAGUAACACGUGGGUAACCUGCCUGUAAGACUGGGAUAACUCCGGGAAACCGGGGCUAAUACCGGAUGGUUGUUUGAACCGCAUGGUUCAAACAUAAAAGGUGGCUUCGGCUACCACUUACAGAUGGACCCGCGGCGCAUUAGCUAGUUGGUGAGGUAACGGCUCACCAAGGCAACGAUGCGUAGCCGACCUGAGAGGGUGAUCGGCCACACUGGGACUGAGACACGGCCCAGACUCCUACGGGAGGCAGCAGUAGGGAAUCUUCCGCAAUGGACGAAAGUCUGACGGAGCAACGCCGCGUGAGUGAUGAAGGUUUUCGGAUCGUAAAGCUCUGUUGUUAGGGAAGAACAAGUACCGUUCGAAUAGGGCGGUACCUUGACGGUACCUAACCAGAAAGCCACGGCUAACUACGUGCCAGCAGCCGCGGUAAUACGUAGGUGGCAAGCGUUGUCCGGAAUUAUUGGGCGUAAAGGGCUCGCAGGCGGUUUCUUAAGUCUGAUGUGAAAGCCCCCGGCUCAACCGGGGAGGGUCAUUGGAAACUGGGGAACUUGAGUGCAGAAGAGGAGAGUGGAAUUCCACGUGUAGCGGUGAAAUGCGUAGAGAUGUGGAGGAACACCAGUGGCGAAGGCGACUCUCUGGUCUGUAACUGACGCUGAGGAGCGAAAGCGUGGGGAGCGAACAGGAUUAGAUACCCUGGUAGUCCACGCCGUAAACGAUGAGUGCUAAGUGUUAGGGGGUUUCCGCCCCUUAGUGCUGCAGCUAACGCAUUAAGCACUCCGCCUGGGGAGUACGGUCGCAAGACUGAAACUCAAAGGAAUUGACGGGGGCCCGCACAAGCGGUGGAGCAUGUGGUUUAAUUCGAAGCAACGCGAAGAACCUUACCAGGUCUUGACAUCCUCUGACAAUCCUAGAGAUAGGACGUCCCCUUCGGGGGCAGAGUGACAGGUGGUGCAUGGUUGUCGUCAGCUCGUGUCGUGAGAUGUUGGGUUAAGUCCCGCAACGAGCGCAACCCUUGAUCUUAGUUGCCAGCAUUCAGUUGGGCACUCUAAGGUGACUGCCGGUGACAAACCGGAGGAAGGUGGGGAUGACGUCAAAUCAUCAUGCCCCUUAUGACCUGGGCUACACACGUGCUACAAUGGACAGAACAAAGGGCAGCGAAACCGCGAGGUUAAGCCAAUCCCACAAAUCUGUUCUCAGUUCGGAUCGCAGUCUGCAACUCGACUGCGUGAAGCUGGAAUCGCUAGUAAUCGCGGAUCAGCAUCGCCGCGGUGAAUACGUUCCCGGGCCUUGUACACACCGCCCGUCACACCACGA